UUGGAUCCGCGGGACAAGAAAAUUCAUGCGAGGGAGAACUGGUGGGCGGUCCUUCCUGUGACACGACCCUUGAGUGACAGUUCUAUUUGAUUGCCUCCAGUACUGUGAGGAAAGGACACGACUCUAUGGUGAGGACUGAUGGACAUACAUUAUCUGAGAAAAGAAACUACCAGGUGACAAACAGCAUGUUUGGUGCUUCAAGAAAGAAGUUUGUAGAGGGGGUGGACAGCGACUACCAUGAUGAAAACAUGUACUACAGCCAGUCUUCUAUGUUCCCACAUCGGUCAGAGAAAGAUAUGCUGGCAUCACCAUCUACAUCAGGUCAGCUGUCUCAAUUUGGGGCAAGUUUAUACGGGCAACAAAGUGCACUAGGCCUUCCAAUGAGGGGGAUGAGCAACAAUACCCCUCAGUUAAAUCGCAGCUUAUCACAAGGCACUCAGUUACCGAGCCACGUCACGCCAACAACAGGGGUACCAACAAUGUCACUUCACACGCCUCCAUCUCCAAGCAGUAUGUCUGGAUUUGGAAUGAACAGGAAUCAGGCAUUUGGAAUGAAUAACUCCUUAUCAAGUAACAUUUUUAAUGGAACAGAUGGCAGUGAAAAUGUGACAGGAUUGGACCUUUCAGAUUUCCCAGCAUUAGCAGACCGGAAUAGAAGGGAAGGAAGUGGCAACCCAACUCCAUUAAUAAACCCCUUGGCUGGAAGAGCCCCUUACGGUCCUUUCUUUCAUCCCUUUAAACAUUCCCGUUGCUCUCCUUGGACCAUCUCUAGUUUCUCCAUUUCCUUCUUGAAUUGUGGAGCCCCAAACUGGAUUUUGUUCUCCAAUAAGGGCCCGACUAAUGACAAGUAUAGUGGGAAGAGUAUUUCCCAGUUCUUGCAUGUUUUACAUCUGUAACAUGGAGUCCAAGAAAAUGAGAAAUAAAGUGGAAUUGUUUUAUAAUUGGUUGCAAAUUGCUCACUCUUUGGAAUGGUAACAAAACCUGCAAAUGAGCAAUCCCAGGACUUCUCAAUACACAACGAAGAUUUCCCAGCACUACCUGGCUCCAGCUAUAAAGACCCAACGUCGAGUAAUGACGACAGCAAGUCUAAUUUGAGUACAUCGGGGAAGACGACUUCAAGUACAGAUGGGCCCAAAUUUCCUGGAGAUAAAAGUUCAACAACACAAAACAAUAAUCAGCAGAAAAAGGGGAUCCAGGUGUUACCUGAUGGUCGAGUUACUAACAUUCCUCAAGGGAUGGUGACGGACCAAUUUGGAAUGAUUGGCCUGUUAACAUUUAUCAGGGCAGCAGAGACAGACC
rnacentral:lncRNA from 1 species